GACGAACGCUGGCGGCGUGCUUAAUACAUGCAAGUCGAGCGAGGACCACCCGGUGGCAACACCGGGUGACUCCUAGCGGCGAACGGGUGAGUAACACGUGGGCAACCUGCCCCCGACUCUGGGAUAAGCCCGGGAAACUGGGUCUAAUACCGGAUACGAGCCUCCUCCGCAUGGUGGAGGUUGGAAAGGGUCUCCGGUCGGGGAUGGGCCCGCGGCCUAUCAGCUUGUUGGUGGGGUGACGGCCCACCAAGGCGACGACGGGUAGCCGGCCUGAGAGGGUGAACGGCCACACUGGGACUGAGACACGGCCCAGACUCCUACGGGAGGCAGCAGUAGGGAAUCUUGCGCAAUGGGCGAAAGCCUGACGCAGCGACGCCGCGUGCGGGACGAAGGCCCUCGGGUUGUAAACCGCUUUCAGCAGGGACGAAGCGAAAGUGACGGUACCUGCAGAAGAAGGUCCGGCCAACUACGUGCCAGCCGCCGCCGUAACAC
rnacentral:rRNA from 1 species